rnacentral:rRNA from 1 species
GUGAACGCUGGCGGUAGGCCUAACCCAUGCAAGUCGAACGGCAGCACAGUAAGAGCUUGCUCUUACGGGUGGCGAGUGGCGGACGGGUGAGGAAUACAUCGGAAUCUACUUUUUCGUGGGGGAUAACGUAGGGAAACUUUCGCUAAUACCGCAUACGACCUACGGGUGAAAGCAGGGGAUCUUCGGACCUUGCGCGAUUGAAUGAGCCGAUGUCGGAUUAGCUAGUUGGCGGGGUAAAGGCCCACCAAGGCGACGAUCCGUAGCUGGUCUGAGAGGAUGAUCAGCCACACUGGAACUGAGACACGGUCCAGACUCCUACGGGAGGCAGCAGUGGGGAAUAUUGGACAAUGGGCGCAAGCCUGAUCCAGCCAUACCGCGUGGGUGAAGAAGGCCUUCGGGUUGUAAAGCCCUUUUGUUGGGAAAGAAAAGCAGCAGGUUAAUACCCCGCUGUUCUGACGGUACCCAAAGAAUAAGCACCGGCUAACUUCGUG